rnacentral:siRNA from 1 species
CCCAACCAUGUCUCCAACUCCGU